ACUGUGAGGAAUAAAAUGUGGGUGUUGACAAGUUCCUCAGCUCAGGCAUCUCUGGCCCACCUGAGCCUGUCGUGGGUAUUGAGGUCCCCGUGUAGGGGCACAGCCGGCCACUCCCAGGGGUACCCAAGGCCCUCAGGUGGGGUGCAGGCAGUGCCUGUACAGGGUCAUGACCUUUUGGCAGCCGGCCAGCCACACAGGGUGCCUUGCACCCGGCUCUCAGCUCCCCCCCCCCACGUUCCUGGAGGGCUGGGCAGUGGCCCUGUGCCCAGAGCAUGUACAGAUGUCCCUGGUGGUGGCAGGGUCGCGGCGGGGACGUCACAGAGGCUGGCCUCACAGGUGCCGGUACCCCCCCUCCCCCAGCCAAAGAGCGCCCUGGAGGCGGAGGGGCAGCAGCUACCAACCAGCGCCCCGCGGCCCGGAGGACGCAGCCUCGCCCACGUGGGGCGCACAGGUGGCGGCAUGCUCCCCUGCUGCGGCAAGGAGGCGGUGGAGAUCCUGGAGCCCCCGAUCAGCCUUGCCCACUGCGACUUCCACGCCCAGGUGCCACAGGAGGAAGACAAGAUCGAGUGUUUAGCUGAAACCUUUCAGCUGAAGACAGAACUGCUAGCUCAGGAGCCAGACCCACACUCAGUCCCGGAACUGGAGAGCCUGGAGGUAGAGCCAUCACCAUGCCCAACUCGGCAGCCCGAGCCCAAGCCCGAGCCUGUCAAGGAUCCAGGUUGGAAGGUGACCACUCUGGUGUUGUGCCACGGAAGCUCCAGGCAGCCCCAGACCCACAGACACCAGCGUACCAGGGAGGAGGCCCCAGUGUGCCCCAAGAGCUGCUCCACCCAGACCUCCAAGCACCUAUUCUGGGCUGACAAGCUCGUCCAGGUGUCAGAGCACAGUCUGCUGCGGGCAUCGGGAAGGCAGGGCACGAGACUCCUGGCGCCAGCAUCUGAGAAGCCUCCCAAGGUCCCCAGCACCCACCCAGCUCCCAGAUCCACAAGGACCCAGCUGCCACCUGGCACCCCGCCGCAAGCCAUGGGCCUGGUAGAGGUGGUCCACUUUGCGACAGCCUUGGCUGUGGCCCCCUCCAGCUGCAUGGACCUACCCAGCUUGGGGCCCAAGACCAAAGCUCCUUCCCAGAAGGCUGUGGAGUCUCCACCCGGGCCCGUCCAGCCUGCCACAGACAAGCAGGAGCUGCUGGAGAAACCGCCAGAAGCCAGGGGUCAGGAAGACAAGAGCAGCCCUUACUGUUUCCUGGACUUCAGCAGCCAGAGGCUCCACGGUGCUACCGUCGAAGGAGAGAUGAAGAUUCUCCAAGCCACGGCCACACGCCCCCAGCCACAGGGAGCCAAGGAAGAGUCGGUGCCAGGAACCAAGAAAGGGAACCCAUUAUUGCUGAAAAUCCACUUUACGACGUCGUCCGCCCCCAACCCAGAGAAAUGACUACAGAAACAGUAAAGACUCCAGUGCUGGCCGGGCUCAGCCUUCUGCGGAUGCUCGGGCAGGGAACUCAGCCGGCCCUGCGCCUGGCCGGUUCCCAGGAUGACGCUGUCCUCAGCUCCCUGACCCACCCUGUGCCUGGCCAUGUGUCCCUGCUCACUCCCCUAGCAGUCACUUCAGCACCACCGAGCCAGAUCCCCGGGCACCGGGAAGACACAGGAUACCCCCAGGAAAGCCACGGAGCCUCUCUGAGCCUCCAGUUUCUCAGGCCCAAAGCCAGGGACACACUCGGCUCAUGAGUCUGAAGAGAGUCCUUCCUGUCCCUCUGUGGGAAAGGCCUAACAGUGUUCUGUGCUUGAAGGAAGAAACUGGUCUGGAGACUGGUCCUCCAUAGAGGCACAGCCUUGAGCCAGAGGCCCUGAGGACAGGGACUGCCACAGGAGCCAGGCAGGCGGUGCAGAGGCGGCACCACAGAUGGGGCAUCACCAGCAGGCUUGGACUCUGCUCCCAGGCCGCCAGGUACCUGGGCUACAGGGGCAGCUCCUCCCCAAGG